UACGAAGGGGGCUAGCGUUGUUCGGAAUUACUGGGCGUAAAGCGCGUGUAGGCGGGUCUUUUAAGUCAGGGGUGAAAUGCCAAGGCUCAACCUUGGAACUGCCUUUGAUACUGGAGACCUUGAGUCCGGGAGAGGUGAGUGGAAUUGCGAGUGUAGAGGUGAAAUUCGUAGAUAUUCGCAAGAACACCAGUGGCGAAGGCGGCUCACUGGCCCGGAACUGACGCUGAGACGCGAAAGCGUGGGGAGCAAACAGG
rnacentral:rRNA from 1 species